GAGGCAAGACAGGCAGGUUAGAAUGCAAAAGGACUCAAUUGCUGUGGACAUGACCAUAAAAAAACUUCCCCUAGGUUUUCUAUCUGCUAUUUUGGUAGCACUCAACCUACUGGGGACAUUG